GAUGAACGCUAGCGACAGGCCUAACACAUGCAAGUCGAGGGCAGCAUAAAGGUAGCAAUACUUUGGUGGCGACCGGCGCACGGGUGAGUAACACGUAUGCAACCUACCUGUAAGAGGGGAAUAACCCGGAGAAAUUCGGACUAAUACCGCAUAAUACUGAUUAUCUGCAUGGAUUGAUCAGUUAAACAUUUAUGGCUUACAGAUGGGCAUGCGUAUGAUUAGAUAGUUGGUAGGGUAACGGCCUACCAAGUCAACGAUCAUUAGGGGUUCUGAGAGGAAGGUCCCCCACACUGGUACUGAGACACGGACCAGACUCCUACGGGAGGCAGCAGUGAGGAAUAUUGGUCAAUGGGCGAGAGCCUGAACCAGCCAAGUCGCGUGAAGGAAGAAGGUUCUAUGGAUUGUAAACUUCUUUUGUAAGGGAAUAAAAAGAGUUACGUGUAACUUAUUGUAUGUACUUUACGGAUAAGGAUCGGCUAACUCCGUG
rnacentral:rRNA from 1 species